rnacentral:misc_RNA from 1 species
GAAAUGCGAUAAGUAGUGUGAAUUGCAGAAUUCAGUGAAUCAUCGAAUCUUUGAACGCACAUUGCGCCCCUUGGUAUUCCAUGGGGCAUGCCUGUUCGAGCGUCAUUUGUACCUUCAAGCUUUGCUUGGUGUUGGGUGUUUGUCUCGCCUCUGCGUGUAGACUCGCCUCAAAACAAUUGGCAGCCGGCGUAUUGAUUUCGGAGAGCAGUACAUCUCGCGCUUUGCACUCAUAACGACGACGUCCAAAAGUACAUUUUUACACUCUUGACCUCGGAUCAGGUAGGGAUACCCGCUGAACUUAAGC